rnacentral:antisense_RNA from 1 species
CGGGGGGGAGGGGUGGCGAGGCGAGGCCUACGGAGCGGAGGAAGACACUUAAAGAUGAAGUGCUUAAUUCAAGGUCACAGAAUGUCGGGGAUGGACCUCCAGAUUUCCUUACUGACCUGCAUUAUCUUGUGGAUACCUGAGUGAAUUCCACACCACCCAUUUUAUAGAUGAAGCCACUGAGACGUGGAGCAACUGACUGAGUAGUCACUGCCCCACCCCUGCCUGGAGCCUCACACAUGACUUCUCUUAGUGACCACAGGUUGGUUGAGGGGUUUAACAAGGCUAAGAAGGUGAGACGUGGUCUUGUAACACAGUGGUUAAGAAUGUGACUUUGGAGCCAGCCUGCUAGGGGCUGAAUUCUGACUCAGCCAUUUAUUAACUGUGUGACCUUAGAUGGAGUCUCACUCUGUAGCCCAAGCUGGAGUGGCGUGAUCUCGACUCACUGCAACCUCCGCCUCCUGGGCUCAAGUGAUUCUCGUGCCUCAGCCUCCUGAGUAGCUGGGACUACAGGUCAUAGAAUUUUCCACACUCCUUGACGGAGGUUCUUAACCCUUAUCCAUCAGCAUUCUCAGACAGCACCUCCGGUUAGGGACAGUAUCUGACCGUCCGACAUCCCUGCAGCCCCCAUGCUGUCACACAGACUCAGCCUCAGGUAGAUGGUUUCCGUAGAUGGUGGCUUUCUUUGGACCCUUGAUAUCAACCAGUUACUAUUUGCUCAGCAAGGCCCACAUUCUCCCGGUGAAGCCACAGAACCACAGGGAGAAAUCCAUGGACUUGGCCUCGCUCUCUAGGGGACCAGAUGUGCAGAGGUAAUGAAUACCAGGGAAUCAGGAAACCACUGGAUC